CUGCUUGGAAUUCUCUCUCCGUCUCUCUCUGCCUCUCCCCUGCUUAUGUACUCUAAAUAAUAAAUAAAGUCAUAAAGAAACACAAUAAAAUAUUUUAAAAAAUUAAAUGAAGAAAGCACUAAUACCAAUUAUUUUCAAACUCUCAAAACAUUGAAAAUGAGGGAACAUUUCCUAACUCAUUCUAAGGUUCCGGGGAAACUGCACAUCCACAAGCAGAAAAAUAACACUGGAGCCUUACCUCAUACAAAAAAUUAACUCAAUACGGAUCAAAGACCUAAAUGUAAGACCUAAUAACACAAAACUCUUAGCAGAAAACAUAGGACUAAAGCUUCCCAACAUUUGGCAAUGAUCGUUAUUUAAAAAAAAAAAUUUAAUGUUUAUUUCUGAGAGAGACAGAGCAUGAGCAGGAGAGGGAUAGAGAGCGAGCGAGACACAGAAUCCGAAGCAGGCUCCAGGCUCUGAGCGGUCAGCACCGAGCCCGAUGUGGGGCUCGAACUCACGGACCGCGAGAUCAUGACCUGAGCCAAAGUUGGCUUAACCGACUGAGCCACCCAGGCGCCCCGACAAUGAUUUCUUGGGUAGAAUAGCAAAGGCACAGGCAAAAACAAAACCAAACAAAACCAAACAAAUUACAUUUCAUGAAAAACUUUAUGUGCAUCAAAAGACACUCUCAACAGAGUAAAAAGGCACCCCACAGAAUGGAAGAAAAUAUUUGCAGAUCACAUUUCUCAUAAGGGGUGAAGAUGCGGAAUAUGUAGAGAACCCCUAAAACCCAACAACAAGGAACUUGACUCAAAAAUGGGUAAAGAACUUGAACAGACCUUCCUCACAGAAGUUAUGCAAAUGGCCAACAAGCCGUGAAAAGAUGCUUAACAGCGACAAACGUCAGGGAAACGCAAGUCAAAACCACAAUGAGGUCCCACCUCACACCUGGUGGAGUGGCUGCUACCCGAAAAUAGCAAUUGUUGACGGGUGUGGGGACUGGAACCCUGCACACGGUCGGCGGGGCUAUAAAUGGUGCAGCCGUGUGGAAAACGGUGUUGGGGUUACUCGAAGAAUGAAAGAAAGAUGUUUGUCGCAUGUUCCGGCAGUUCCACUUCCAGGCAUUUGCCUGAAAGAAUUCCGAGCAGGGUCUUGAGGAGACGUCUGCACCCGCUGUUCACUGCAGCGUUAUUCACGACAGCUAAGAAGCAGAAGCAACCCAAGCGCGCGCGGACAGAUGAACGUGUUACGAAAAACGGCAUGUCAUUCAGCCUCAAAAUGAGAAACGGUUCUGACACCUGCUGCAACACGGAUGAGCCUGGAGGACGCGAUGCUCAAUGGAAUGAGCCAGUCGCCAAAAGACAAAUCACGUGCGACUCCACUGGUGGAAAAGAGCUCUGGACGUGGAGGAUGGAACACUAGGAAUGUAUUAACUGCUGCUGAACCAUGUACUUAACAAUGGUUAAGACGAUGAAGGAACUGGGGACUCACGGGGUGAACAGCUCUGGAUCACACCCCCAAGGUGAGGUGCCGGCCCCCGCCCCAGGACCCGGGGUACGGUAAGCAGGGUCAGAUCAGCUGAGCAGAGGAGACCCCCAGCCCUGGGAUCACACAAACUUUCCACUGUCCUCUCAGGCUGGAGUGAUCUGGACUCCACCAGCCUCCCCACCGGCUCCCGAGACCAGCCGCCCUCGAAUCAGCUCAGACACCAUCCAUCCUGGAGGCAAGCCUCCCUCGUCCCACGUCCAUCUCGAGUUCGCCUCACCCCAAAGAGCCAGCUUCCUCACGGCUCCCACCAGUUCGUGCCCAGGUCCCCUGAGCGUGCUGCCUCCAGCUCUGCCUAGGGGCCCCAGCGCUGGGCUGUCCUCCUCCUCCUCGGCUGCAGCCACAGGCGGCCCCGGCUCUCAGGGACCCGCACGUCCUCUCAGCUCCCACCGCACAUCCCUGGAGCUAAGAGGACAUCUUCCACGUCCACAGGCACCCUACAGUCUCUGAGAUGCACCCAUUCCCACCUGUCCCCUGUUCUGCCUUACUCCGCCCACCCACCCCUGCACCUAGAGCAGCUGGCAUAAAUCCCCCGUGUCUCCUCCAAUCCCACAGUGCUUCCUUGUCAGGGCAGAGCCACCCUCCAGCCCCUCACUCCCAAGUCUGCCUGCUGCCCUGAGCCCACCACCCCUGGCCCAGAGGCAGGGAGGGCCCCAGGCCUGCAGCUGAGAUGUUCCUACUCUUGUGGCCAGAGUUUGGAACUGUAACGUCUGGGUCCAAACCCAAGUUUUACCACGAUCCAGCUGGGAGGUCUCGGGCAAGAGAUGGUUCAUGCAGAAACACCUGCUUUCCUUUCCUUUCCUAUCAGGAUGGUGCUGACCUCAGCGGUGGCCUGUGUUCUACAGGAGUCAAUGGGUGUGAAAGGGCUGACGGGACAGACAGGUCGUGCUCAGUGUCAGCUCCCCACACUUUCUCAGAGCCACGGAGGCCCCUGUCCCCCAUCUGGAGGAGGUGGGGACGCAUGAGGCAUGGUGGUGACCGCAGUCCUGGGCUACCCCGGGACCAUUUAUCUUAAAUUAUUUUGAAAUGAUUAUGUGAAAUUAUUUAUUUAAAAGUCAUAUACAUCCCAGAGGUGGCCCUCACCCAGCCCCGGCUCCCCCUCUACGCCCUCCUGGUUGGGGGUGUGCAGGUCUCACCCCUCUGAGAACUUUCCCUGGAAGGCAGACUUCCAGGAAAGCCCUGUGUGUUGCCAAGGAAGCCUUCCAGCUCCCGGCACGGGGCCUGCCUCUGCCCGAGCUGCCGGGCCCGUUCUAAGACCUCAUCCUCUCCUCCAGGAGGAGCUUAGCCAGGACUCCUCCCCCAAGCUCAGGGCCUGGGUCUCCACAACUCGCUCCCAGUCCCUUUCCUCAUCUCGUGCUGCGUCCGGGGAGGCCUGGGUCUCUGGCAAGGCCUUUAAACUGUGUCCCCCUUGUGACACCAAGUGACAAAGCAGAUUUCUCAACUUGAUUUUCUUCUUCACACGAGAAGUGAAACCUCUAGCUUAGACUCCUUCUGAAAGAGACAUCAAUUCCUUUCCCUGCUUGUAUUAAAAGCCGCUUUCUGGGGCGCCUGGGUGGCUCAGUCGGUGAAGCAUCUGACUUUGGCUCAGGUCAUGAUCUCACAGUUCGUGAGUUCAAGCCCCACAUCUGGCUCCAUGCUGACAGCUCGGAGCCUGGAGCCUGCUUCGGAUCCUGUGUCUCCCUCUCUCUCUGCCCUGGCUCCCUGGCUCACUCUCUGUCUCUCUCUGUCUUUCAAAAUAAACGAACAUUAAAAAAAAUUUUUAAAAAGCUGUUUUCAUAAAUUCAAGCUUUCUGCCAAAAUUGGUCAGAGAUGUAUCAACGAGUUUCAUUCCCGUGGACGGCUCUUCCAACUUCUGCUCUGUCUCUUAGUUUAUGGCUGGUACCCUUUGCUUCCUCUGAAGACAACUCCCCAAAAGAUAAAGGCUCCCGAAAUGGCAUGGCACCGGAACACCAGGUUGAAGUCGGUCCCAGGCCGAGGACUACUGGCCAUGUGCCCACCAGCAAGUCCACACAGCAACCCAACAGGACUGCGCUUGAAAGGGCUCCAACAGCCAGGCCUUGGCAUCCAGCCAUGACUGAGUGACACAUGGGAGCCAGCCUCCAACAGAGGAAGGAACCUCUGCCUUCAUAGAUGGCGCCUGACCUGGCUCCUCCACGGGAACACAGAUGUUCACGGGACUCCUAUGCCCUGCACUAAGCUGUGUUGAAGGGCUCCUGGUUGGCCAGGUGUCCAGGAGGAUCUUUGGCCCUGCGCUAUGCUGGGUCAAAUUCCUGAUCAGUAGAGGGUCUGGGAGACACAUUCACUCCAUGUUGAGCUGCCUCAGAGGGCUCUCAGGCAGCCACGUGUCCUGUGCAUGCAUUCGCCCUGUGCUGAGUUGGGUCGGAGGGUUCCCUGUCAGCCAUGUUUCCUGGGCACUCGUUCAACCUGUACCGAGCCGGGUCAGAGGGCUCAGGCUGGCCAGGCGUCCUGUGGAUGCAUUCUACCUGUGCUGGGCUGGGUCCACCCCCUGGGCUGCGUUUCCAGGGACUCGUUCACCCUGUGCUGAGCUGGGUUGCAGGGUGCCUGGUCUGGGAGUCCUUGAGACUCACUUUCCCUGAACUGAGCUGUGUUGGAGGCUCCUGGCCAGCUGGGGAUCCUGGAGACUUGUUCUCCUUGGGCUGGGCUGGGUCAGAGGGCUCCCAGCCGGAGGAUUCCUGAUUAGCUGGACGUCAGUGGGACUCUUCACCCUGUGCUGAUCUGGGUGGUAGGUGUCGAGUCCCCUAGGGGACUCGUUCACCCUGUGCUGAGCCAGGUUGUGGCCUUGGAAGUCAAGAAGGGCUCUCCCUGGAUGGGUGAGGGUCCCUUGUACUCUGAUUUUCAGUGCCCUACUCCCAACUGCUGAAUGACAACACGUAACUGAGCAAUCUGGCCAGCCCCUUGUUGGGCUUGGGUCCAGGAGGUGCCAGGUGUAGGUAUGUGGGACUGCAAGGCGGCAUGAAGGUGGGCACCAGCCUUGAGGUGGAGCACAGAGUCCGCGAGAAGCCGGGGGCAGGACGAGUGGGCGGGGCCUCGCCAUCAGCAGGGACAGGAACGGAGAAGCAAGGAGGAGCUAAGAGAAGCUGCAGGAAACGUGCCAUCUCUCUAUUCAGUGCGGCUCUGCAGGUGACUGGCUUUUCUAACAGCCAGGGUUUCACAACGCCUCCUCCUGAUGUCGCCACAGCACCCUCCACAAUCACCAGGGGUCUCUCACCGGGUCUUGUCUGGGAGGCCCAAUUGCCAGGCAGCUUUCACCCAGGCCCUCCUUCCCUCAUCACCUGGACGCCAUCCUGGGUCCCCUACCAGCUGGACCAGCGCCCACGCUGGCCUUUUGUCCGGGCAGCACCACCCCCGGGUACGGGGUGUAGCAGGGACUUGCCCACGUGAAAAUUAGUGAGAGGAAACCUCAUUUAGAAUGGAGUCGGGUGGCCAGCAGGGGGAGCUCUCAGCCCUACCGCUCCCGGUCAGUUGCAGACCCAACAGGAAGGGACGCACCUUGCAGGUGGAUUCCACUGUAGCCACCACUUUACAAGCUCAGCAGGAGCUGCCGGAGGAUGGAAGGUUUCCUCCUCCCCCAGCAACAAUCCAGCCAAAGAGAGACAGCCACAGCCCAGCCAGUGAGAGAUCAUCACAGCUCAGCCAAUGAGAGACUGCCACAGCCCAGCCAAUGAGAAGGCACCACACUUCCAGCUCAGAGUUUGCUCCAAUGAACUUUCUGUUUACAACAGCCCUCCCGCCCACUCCACCCUCCCUUCCUUAUAAACCAGCCUCCUGAACCGUAUGGUCGAGAGUUGCUUGUCCUGUGUUGGCCUCUGCUGUUCCCGAAUAAAGCCAGUCUUGCUGGGGAAAUAACUGGCAGUUUUGUUUUUGAAGUUAACGCCAGGCGGGGCAGCUCGGGAGUGCGUGAGAAGGGGCUGGGCUGAGGUCCUCCCAGUUCUGGCCAAGGGGACCUGAAGGACACCUGCUGGUGGGGGCAGGUGGUGUCCUUGGAAGUCUUCUUCACCCAGGGAAGGCGGCCGGUAGGAGGCGGUCCAAGCUCUUGCCCCGGCUGGGUGAUUUCGUGAUGCCUUCCCAGAGGAGCUGCUGCAAAGGCCUGCCCUGUGACCGGAUGCGCUCCGCACCCCUGCAGCCUUGUGACCUGCGACCCCUGUGGGCGAGGCACCUGCACUGAAGCCACUUCGGGCAGAGAUUCCAUCACAGGAAGCCGAAGUCACCCUCGCGGGUCCGUUUCGGAACAACCUAAAUAUCUCACCCGAGUAUGUCCCGUGCCUCCCCUCCCGUGGAGCCACGCACCCGUCCCACGGGGACCGGUUUUUGGCUUCCGCGGCCGCUGUGUUCCUGUGACUCCGGGCUGGGAAGAAGGGCCUCGUGGGAUUUCUGAAGGGGUCGGGAGGUGAUGCAGCAGCGCCUUGGCCGAUGUGGAGGCCACAUGUGAUGGCCGGAUCCCUCUGCCGCACCUCCAGGAUGGAAACCUCCGGAAGGCCCGGGAGCAGAAAGGGGGACACAAAGCCCUAAUCUUGUGGAGAAUCCGGGCUUGUUUACAUGAGAGAAUUUCAUUUUCCUUUUUCCCAGUCCCUACGGUGGCAUUUUGUUCGUAGCGGAUUCACCGAUCCCCACCUGAUCGGGGGUACACGCCGGCUGCACAGCUGCCCUGGGAAGGGGUUCCGGACACUUGUUCCCCCCGCCCCCCACAGCUGCCGACCUAGGAGUGGGGCCCCUCACCUGCCCACGCUGACCCCUUCUCCGGCUCCCUCCGCGUCGACUGCGCAGACUCCCCAGUUCCCAGAGCUGGUCAGUGUCCUCAGGCCCCGGGGCCUCUGCCCGUGCACCUCCGUCCCGGAGUGUCGGCUGCCGGGCGUCGCUUCCUCCGGGGUGCCCUCCCGCCCGCUAGCCGAGACCCCCUGACUUCGCUGUCCCCCACGGUUGCUGUCGCGUCUGGGCCCGGUCGCCCUUCCCCAUGACGCUGAGCUGCCCGAAGCGAGCGGCAGCGCCGCCGAGCAGAGGCCCUUUCCGCCGUGUGAUCUCAGGCGGGCGCCGCGGCCACCACCAAAGCGGGGGAGACGGGACAUGCAGCUGGCAGAGCCGCAGGGGACCCUCCUGAAGAGCACGGAGAACGCUCGGGCCCCUGCCGGCGCGUGGCCUCCUCAUUGUCACCGCCCCGAGGCAGGUACACCAGUAACACCGGACUCUCUCUCGGCCUCUGUCCUCGCCAGCGGCUGGAGGACGUUCUCCCGCUUGGGACGUUCUCGGAGGUGGCGGGUGACAGAGCUUGCGGGUGGUGCCCCAGCCCGUCCGGUGUCCAGGGGGGCUCGGGACGCGCCCCCCUGGCCGCCCCCCUCCCUGGCCGCUGGCUGGAGAAGCCCUUCCCCCCGCCCCGGAGAGGAACGGGUGGGGGUCCUGUGCGGCUGGAGCCCACGGGCCUUCCUGUGUCUGGCCCGGAGGACGCCUGCUGCUCUUUGGGACCCCGCAGCCCUCCCAGCCGUGCACACUCCGGGUGCGUCACUGCCCUGUUCAGACGCCUCUCAGGGCCUCGCACGGUGACGAGAACGCGUUUUCUCACGGGGGCCACUCCCUGGCCUCAAGCACCCGGCUGGUGAGCCAGGCGUGGGGACCCCCAGCACCGGGCUCUGGGGCCCGUGCCCCACAGCCUCCCGGGAGUUCUGCGCGGGGCACUCAAGGAAUGGGUGCGGAUGUGCUGCCAGAAAUGCCCAAUAAUCAUCCGGAGAAGAAGGUGGGAAAUUAUCUGAACAAACCUUGGAGCUGGGGGCGGGAGCAGAAAUGGGAGGUAACCUGUUUCUAAGGACCUCACGGUGGCAUGGGGACACCCAGAGGACAGAACGCUCCGAGGAUGCCGUCUGGACACAGGCUCAGGUGACGGAGGCUGUGUCAUCUGCUGACGUCAUCUGCUGGCUGUGCCCCGCCCCCCCCCCCCCCCCCCCGCGUUGACAAGGUGAAGGAAGGACCCUCUGCCUGAAGAAAGGGGGUGGGAACAGGUCCCACCCACACGGUGCCACAGCCCCGGACUUCCUCUUCCUCUGCUGGUGCCAGGCCCCACGUUCCUGUGAUCCGGGGCCCUUCCCCUGUCGCUGCCUCCCUUCCAGCACCUUCCCUUCGUGUCUCUCCGGGUGGCGGUCACCGCCUGGCGCUGCUCGGUAGUUGGUUUGGCUCCUUUGUCUGUGCCCCUGGCUGGUCAGGUCGGGGAGCAGGGCUUUGCCCGCCCUGUUCACGGCUACGUGCUCAGCGCCUGGAGCCGUCCAUACGAUGGAUGCCAAAAAGUAAUUUCUAAUGAAUGAAUUGUCGCUUCAUGUUCAGCCUAAGAAGCUGCUAGAGACCGGAGUUUCACGGCCCGCAAAUGAACGCCGAUCCCGCCGACCACAGGCUUCCGACCAAUGCUGGCCGCGGCGUGAGAGCGGUGUUCCCAUGUGCUGGGGGCCGGACCGCUGUGGCCGGCCACAUGGCCAUCCAGGGGACACCUGGUCCCCGCACACACGGAUUCUGGCAGAUUAUCCACAUGCUCUCUGAAAGGUCGAGAAAGGGGCAGUCGGACAGAAGGAAACCGAAUCCGGGCCCACGAGGCCGUGCGUGCCAAGGAAAAGUGAGAAUUUCCAGCAAGAAGAGGAGGGGAGACCAUAGCCCCGCACAUACCUUCAUUUAGACUUCUAGCCUCCAAACGAGCGAGGACCGAUUCUGUUGCUUCGAGCCAUCUAGUCUGUGGUACUUUGUUUACAGUGGCCUUAGUAAACAAAUACAUGUAUAACCCUAAUUUAAAAUAAAAAAAAUAGUGUGCACUAGA